UAUGGCCACAUCACAUUGAAACAUCAGUUCCUGUAGGAUAGCCAAAGUUAAGCCAUGUUGAGCCUGGUCAGUAUCUAGAUAAGUGACUGCUUGGGAAUACCAGGUGCUGCAAGC